rnacentral:rRNA from 1 species
AUAGCGUAUAUUAAAGUUGUUGCAGUUAAAAAGCUCGUAGUUGGAUUUCUGGGAGGGUGCCAAUGUCCGUUUGAUACGUGUGCAGCGGCGCCCUUCCAUCCUUCUGUUAACGUUUCUUGGUAUUAACUUACUGGUUGCGGGCUCAGAUAUUUUACCUUGAGAAAAUUAGAGUGUUUCAGGCAGGCUUGCGCCCGAAUACAUUAGCAUGGAAUAAUAGAAUAGGACUUUGGUCUCCUUUGUUGGUUUGAGGGACUAGAGUAAUGAUUAAUAGGGACAGUUGGGGGCAUUAGUAUUUAAUUGUCAGAGGUGAAAUUCUCGGAUUUGUUAAAGACUAACUACUG